rnacentral:tRNA from 1 species
GGUGCGUUCGUAUAUCGGUUAAUACUCCCGCCUGUCGAGCGGAGAAGAGGGGUUCGACUCCCCUACGCACCG